CCUACGGGUGGCAGCAGUGGGGGAUAUUGCACAAUGGGGGGAACCCUGAUGCAGCGACGCCGCGUGAAGGAAGAAGUAUCUCGGUAUGUAAACUUCUAUCGUCAGGGAAGAAAAUGACGGUAUCUCACUAAGAAGCCCCGGCUAACUACGUGCCAGCAGCCGCGGUAAUACGUAGGGGGCAAGCGUUAUUCGGAUUGACUGGGCGUAAAGGGAGCGUAGGCGGGCUUGUAAGUCAGAAGUGAAAGCCUGGGGCUCAACUCCGGAACUGCUUUUGAAACUAUACAGCUGGAUUGCAGGAGAGGGAAGUGGAAUUCCUAGUGUAGCGGUGAAAUGCGUAGAUAUUAAGAGGAACACCAGUGGCGAAGGCGACUUGCUGGAAUGUAAAUGACGCUGAUGCUCGAAAGCGUGGGGAGCAAACAGGAUUAGAUACCCUUGUAGUC
rnacentral:rRNA from 1 species